CAUCUGAAACACGGUAAAAAAAAUGAAUAGAAAUUACACAGUGCACUGGGGGAAAAAAAAUCCUCACAAAUGAAUGUAAGAAAGUGACGUCAGUAACUGACGAAUCAGUGCAUGAAUUCAGUGCAAUCCCAAAACACACACAAAUGAGACUCGUGUGCUUAAAGGUUUGUAUCGUUAGAAACCCAGUCGUAUUUUUAAAUGGUCUUGCAUCAUUCCCUAAUUUUCCCCUGAGACGGGAGGGAUCCGUAUCGUAUCUACCUAUAAUACUUCCUGCUUUAAAUGACGCAAAAUAAUUUUUUUUCGCCUAAUUUAAAGCAGGUUCUUUACUUGUUGUGGAAGUACCAGAGACGUCCGAGAACCCGUCCCUGUCUUUAAAUCAUAAUAUCAUCCAGAAGCGCA